UACGAAGGGGGCUAGCGUUGUUCGGAUUUACUGGGCGUAAAGCGCACGUAGGCGGACUUUUAAGUCAGGGGUGAAAUCCCGGGGCUCAACCCCGGAACUGCCUUUGAUACUGGAAGUCUUGAGUUCGAGAGAGGUGAGUGGAAUUCCGAGUGUAGAGGUGAAAUUCGUAGAUAUUGGGAAGAACACCGGUGGCGAAGGCGGCUCACUGGCCCGUAACUGACGCUCAGGCGCGAUAGCGUGGGGAUCAAACAGG
rnacentral:rRNA from 1 species